rnacentral:rRNA from 1 species
UACGGGGGGGGGCAAGCGUUGUUCGGAAUUACUGGGCGUAAAGGGCUCGUAGGUGGCCAACUAAGUCAGACGUGAAAUCCCUCGGCUUAACCGGGGAACUGCGUCUGAUACUGGAUGGCUUGAGUUCGGGAGAGGGAUGCGGAAUUCCAGGUGUAGCGGUGAAAUGCGUAGAUAUCGAGAGGAACACCUGCGGCGAAGGCGGGUUGCUGGGCUGAUACUGACGCUGGAGGCGCGAAAGCUAGGGGAGCGAACGGG